rnacentral:rRNA from 1 species
GAUGAACGCUGGCGGCGUGCCUAAUACAUGCCAGUCGAGCGAACAGAUGAGGAGCUUGCUCCUCUGACGUUAGCGGCGGACGGGUGAGUAGCACGUGGAUAACCUACCUAUAAGACUGGGAUAACUUCGGGAAACCGGAGCUAAUACCGGAUAAUAUAUUGAACCGCAUGGUUCAAUAGUGAAAGACGGUUUUGCUGUCACUUAUAGAUGGAUCCGCGCCGCAUUAGCUAGUUGGUAAGGUAACGGCUUACCAAGGCAACGAUGCGUAGCCGACCUGAGAGGGUGAUCGGCCACACUGGAACUGAGACACGGUCCAGACUCCUACGGGAGGCAGCAGUAGGGAAUCUUCCGCAAUGGGCGAAAGCCUGACGGAGCAACGCCGCGUGAGUGAUGAAGGUCUUCGGAUCGUAAAACUCUGUUAUUAGGGAAGAACAAAUGUGUAAGUAACUAUGCACGUCUUGACGGUACCUAAUCAGAAAGCCACGGCUAACUACGUG